CGCGAGUCGCUACGGUGAGAGCUGGAGGCUAGUGGCUGAAUGCAGGGCUGGAGGGAGGGGGGGAUAAAUCGGGGGCUAAAAAGGAACGCUUUUUUUUUUUUUUUUCUUCUCUUUUUAGAUCGAUCUAGUGCCUUGGAAGUAGAGAAAAAGUUAAUAAAGACAGCUUUCCAGCCAGUGCAGAGGCGGCCCCAGAACCAGCUCGAUGCCGCUAUGGUUCUAUCGGCGUUGUCAUCAUCAUAGUUAAUUUUUUUAUUGUGGUUGUAAUGAUUGUAAAAAGAAAUCUCUGUAUAGUUACGACUUGUAAGCAUGUCCGUAUAUUAAAACUAAAAGGGAAAAAAAAAAAAAAAAACACGCAAAAAAACCAACCCCGCUUCUGUACUAUCAUCGGGAUUAGCUGAGUUUGUGAGGUUUUUUGGAAGUCCGGUGAGAACUAGGUGUUUCCAUUUUUUUUCGUUCGUUUGUUUUUGUACAUACGUUUAAAAAACAACAACAAUAACAACAACAAAAAACAGAAAACCUGUACAUACGUGUGAACCAAAUUGUACAAGAAAGUAUCUAUUUUUGGCUAAUAAAUAAACCGUUGCCACUUUGCCUACA